GGUUAAGUGACUAAGCGUACACGGUGGAUGCCUAGGCAGUCAGAGGCGAUGAAGGGCGUGCUAAUCUGCGAUAAGCGUCGGUAAGGUGAUAUGAACCGCAAUAACCGACGAUACCCGAAUGGGGAAACCCGGUGCACUUUGGUGCAUCAUUGCAACAUGAAUACAUAGUGUUGCAAGGCGAACCUGGGGAACUGAAACAUCUAAGUACCCAGAGGAAAAGAAAUCAACCGAGAUUCCCCCAGUAGCGGCGAGCGAACGGGGAACAGCCCAGAACCUGAAUCAGUUUGUGCAUUAGUGGAAGCGUCUGGAAAGUCGCAGGGUACAGGGUGAUACUCCCGUACACAAAAAUGCACUUGCUGUGAGUUCGAUGAGUAGGGCGGGACACGUGACAUCCUGUCUGAAUAUGGGGGGACCAUCCUCCAAGGCUAAAUACUCCUGACUGACCGAUAGUGAACCAGUACCGUGAGGGAAAGGCGAAAAGAACCCCGGCGAGGGGAGUGAAACAGAACCUGAAACCGUGUACGUACAAGCAGUGGGAGCACCUUCGUGGUGUGACUGCGUACCUUUUGUAUAAUGGGUCAGCGACUUAUAUUCUGUAGCAAGGUUAACCGUAUAGGGGAGCCGAAGGGAAACCGAGUCUUAACUGGGCGUUAAGUUGCAGGGUAUAGACCCGAAACCCGGUGAUCUAGCCAUGGGCAGGUUGAAGGUUGGGUAACACUAACUGGAGGACCGAACCGACUAAUGUUGAAAAAUUAGCGGAUGACUUGUGGCUGGGGGUGAAAGGCCAAUCAAACCGGGAGAUAGCUGGUUCUCCCCGAAAGCUAUUUAGGUAGCGCCUCGUGAACUCAUCUUCGGGGGUAGAGCACUGUUUCGGCUAGGGGGCCAUCCCGGCUUACCAACCCGAUGCAAACUGCGAAUACCGAAGAAUGUUAUCACGGGAGACACACGGCGGGUGCUAACGUCCGUCGUGAAGAGGGAAACAACCCAGACCGCCAGCUAAGGUCCCAAAGUCAUGGUUAAGUGGGAAACGAUGUGGGAAGGCACAGACAGCCAGGAUGUUGGCUUAGAAGCAGCCAUCAUUUAAAGAAAGCGUAAUAGCUCACUGGUCGAGUCGGCCUGCGCGGAAGAUGUAACGGGGCUAAACCAUGCACCGAAGCUGCGGCAGCGACGCUUAGGCGUUGUUGGGUAGGGGAGCGUUCUGUAAGCCGUCGAAGGUGGCCUGUGAGGGCUGCUGGAGGUAUCAGAAGUGCGAAUGCUGACAUAAGUAACGAUAAAGCGGGUGAAAAGCCCGCUCGCCGGAAGACCAAGGGUUCCUGUCCAACGUUAAUCGGGGCAGGGUGAGUCGACCCCUAAGGCGAGGCCGAAAGGCGUAGUCGAUGGGAAACAGGUUAAUAUUCCUGUACUCGGUGUUACUGCGAAGGGGGGACGGAGAAGGCUAUGUUAGCCGGGCGACGGUUGUCCCGGUUUAAGCAUGUAGGCGGAGAGUUUAGGUAAAUCCGGACUCUUUUUAACGCUGAGGUGUGAUGACGAGGCACUACGGUGCUGAAGUAACAAAUGCCCUGCUUCCAGGAAAAGCCUCUAAGCAUCAGGUAACACGGAAUCGUACCCCAAACCGACACAGGUGGUCAGGUAGAGAAUACCAAGGCGCUUGAGAGAACUCGGGUGAAGGAACUAGGCAAAAUGGUGCCGUAACUUCGGGAGAAGGCACGCUGGCGCGUAGGUGAAGGGACUUGCUCCCGGAGCUGAAGCCAGUCGAAGAUACCAGCUGGCUGCAACUGUUUAUUAAAAACACAGCACUGUGCAAACACGAAAGUGGACGUAUACGGUGUGACGCCUGCCCGGUGCCGGAAGGUUAAUUGAUGGGGUUAUCCGCAAGGAGAAGCUCUUGAUCGAAGCCCCGGUAAACGGCGGCCGUAACUAUAACGGUCCUAAGGUAGCGAAAUUCCUUGUCGGGUAAGUUCCGACCUGCACGAAUGGCGUAAUGAUGGCCAGGCUGUCUCCACCCGAGACUCAGUGAAAUUGAACUCGCUGUGAAGAUGCAGUGUACCCGCGGCAAGACGGAAAGACCCCGUGAACCUUUACUAUAGCUUGACACUGAAUAUUGAACCUUGAUGUGUAGGAUAGGUGGGAGGCUUUGAAGCGUGGACGCCAGUCUGCGUGGAGCCAACCUUGAAAUACCACCCUUUAACGUUUGAUGUUCUAACCUGGCGCCGUGAUCCGGCGUGGGGACAGUGUCUGGUGGGUAGUUUGACUGGGGCGGUCUCCUCCUAAAGAGUAACGGAGGAGCACGAAGGUUAGCUAAUCACGGUCGGACAUCGUGAGGUUAGUGCAAUGGCAUAAGCUAGCUUGACUGCGAGAGUGACGGCUCGAGCAGGUGCGAAAGCAGGUCAUAGUGAUCCGGUGGUUCUGAAUGGAAGGGCCAUCGCUCAACGGAUAAAAGGUACUCCGGGGAUAACAGGCUGAUACCGCCCAAGAGUUCAUAUCGACGGCGGUGUUUGGCACCUCGAUGUCGGCUCAUCACAUCCUGGGGCUGAAGUAGGUCCCAAGGGUACGGCUGUUCGCCGUUUAAAGUGGUACGCGAGCUGGGUUUAGAACGUCGUGAGACAGUUCGGUCCCUAUCUGCCGUGGGCGCUGGAAGAUUGAGAGGGGUUGCUCCUAGUACGAGAGGACCGGAGUGAACGCACCACUGGUGUUCGGGUUGUCAUGCCAAUGGCAUUGCCCGGUAGCUAAGUGCGGAAAAGAUAAGCGCUGAAAGCAUCUAAGCGCGAAACUUGCCUCGAGAUGAAUCUUCCCUGGGCCUUUAAGGCCCCUGAAGGGACGUUGAAGACUACGACGUUGAUAGGCCGGGUGUGUAAGCGCAGCGAUGCGUUGAGCUAACCGGUACUAAUGACCCGUGAGGCUUAACCUUACAACACCAGAAGCGUUCUG
rnacentral:rRNA from 1 species